UGGGGAAUUUUGCACAAUGGGGGAAACCCUGAUGCAGCGACGCCGCGUGAUUUAGAAGGCCUUCGGGUUGUAAAAAUCUUUUCUAUGGGAAGAAAAUGACAGUACCAUAGGAAUAAGGACCGGCUAAUUACGUGCCAGCAGCCGCGGUAAUACGUAAGGUCCGAGCGUUGUCCGGAAUCAUUGGGCGUAAAGGGUACGUAGGCGGGUAAGGAAGUUAGAAGUGAAAUCCUAUAGCUCAACUAUAGUAAGCUUUUAAAACUGCUCAUCUUGAGUUAUGGAAGGGAAAGUGGAAUUCCUAGUGUAGCGGUGAAAUGCGCAGAUAUUAGGAGGAAUACCGGUGGCGAAGGCGACUUUCUGGCCAUAACCUGACGCUGAGGUACGAAAGCGUGGGUAGCAAACAGG
rnacentral:rRNA from 1 species